UCAACAGUAUCACCAACGGUUGGUUAUUAUAACAAACAGCUUGCCGUCGUCGUCAUCUCUCUCUCUCUCUCUCUCUCUUUUUCUUGGAUUGGCGCCGGAUUUCUUCCGACGAUGGCAAGGUGCCUCGUGGAUCCUCCACGCGCGAUGGCUUCCCCUCCAAUCUCUCCUUUCUCUUUUACACCCGCGCUUCAGCUAUUUCUUGGUUUGUUCCGGCUUCUUGAUUGUUUUCUUGCUGAUUGAUUCUUUCGGCGGUGGCAAGAUUCCUCAUGGCUUGAUGGCUUCUUGUUGGUCGGAAGCAUCGGUGGAUGAGAUGAUUAAGUUCUUGGCCAACGAGAUGAUUAAGUUCGUCCAGCAGCACGCCGAAGCCUCUAUCGCCCAUCUCCUCAGCCUCAAAACAGACAGGAUUGGGGGACAGAUUUAUGAAGUAACCUGCAUACAUAAGGCAUAGAGGAUUCUUCUGUUCGAUGAGGUCAAUGACUGAACACCGGAUUCGUGUUGCUGAGGGGAUGAAGGACUUCAACUAAAUUUCUACUAAUCAGCAUCUCAACAUAAGAGAGAGGGAGUAAGGCACUGUAACCAUCUUUCUAGAUAGGCUAGAUUUUGAGUAUCGGUAUCAACUCCCUUUUUUUCUUAUGGUAGACGGAUGCUUGCAUUUGUAGUUUUGUUUGAAUGGAAAAUGUUAAGUAGGAAGUUUUAUUGCAUUAUAUGCUAUUAAUAUUAAUAAGUAUUUUUAUUGAAUCUCGUAU